GUUCCGUUGGCGUAAUGGUAACGCGUCUCCCUCCUAAGGAGAAGACUGCGGGUUCGAGUCCCGUACGGAACG
rnacentral:ncRNA from 13 species